UACGUAGGUGGCGAGCGUUGUCCGGAUUUACUGGGCGUAAAGGGAGCGUAGGCGGACUUUUAAGUGAGAUGUGAAAUACCCGGGCUCAACUUGAGUGCUGCAUUUCAAACUGGAAGUCUAGAGUGCAGGAGAGGAGAAUGGAAUUCCUAGUGUAGCGGUGAAAUGCGUAGAGAUUAGGAAGAACACCAGUGGCGAAGGCGAUUCUCUGGACUGUAACUGACGCUGAGGCUCGAAAGCGUGGGGAGCAAACAGGAUUAGAUA
rnacentral:rRNA from 1 species